rnacentral:lncRNA from 1 species
CCCAUGCAAAUAAAAUGAGAGUGCGUACUUGUCAACAGGAAUAUGCACUUUCAGUUCUGCUGCGGUGAUUCAGUUUGGAGGCCACAUGAGGUCAGGUGAGGCAGAUGUUGGUGAGCUGCAGAAGUCCUCUGCUCCACCACCAGCACGUGCGUCACUUUUAUAAACCAGCUCAGUGGGUUCAUAAUCUGGAUGUCUGCUUGACUUCCAGGCUUUUAGAAAAUGUGUUGAGUUGUUUGGAAAAGGCAUAAGCGCCUAGAUCACGCCAAGUGCGCACCGCGCGCCUUUACGCGUGCGUGUACGCGCAGGGUGGUGCCACUAACUGUAAUUAUGUGGCAGAAAGCUCCUCCUCCGUCCAUUUUUAAUCUCUUAUAUCCGCUAAUGCUGCGGCAGACAUUUACCACAAGCAGCGGGCAGCUAACGCGGGCUAACGCGCAGGAGGUCUGAGCCGGGAUCCUGCGCGUUUGGGAAUAUUCCACCGACUUCCGGGAGACUGCUGUCCCGUCGGGAAACACCCGGACCCUGCGAGGGCUCGGCCGCAGACGGAACACCUGUGCAGACACACACGCAGAGCAUCAGCAUGGCCGGUUCUGGGGAUACAGAGGGAUCUUUGACCCCCGUGGAUUUCAUCCAGCUGCAACAUUACAUGGAAGGUGAGUUUGAUCUGCACUCUCUGUUGGUUUUUGAAAUAAAAGGGGAAGUCAGUGUCAGAUGUGACUCAUAAAAGGCGUUUUUUCAAACUACUAAAUAUAUCUGAAACUCCUGUAACCACAGAGCAAAAACAAUCUCACAUUAUAUAAUCCUACAAAUAUAGAUAUAUACUCAUUUUUACCUACAGUUUUGAUUUU